UAACAAGGAAUCCCUUAGUAACGGCGAGUGAACCGGGAAAAGCCCAGCACCGAAGCUUGUGGUCGUUUGAUCACUAAGCAAUGUGGUGUUCAGGUCAUAUCGCGGGAACACUGCUCCACUCCAAGUCCAGCAAUGAGUACGGUAUUUUGGACAUGGCCCAUAGAGGGUGAAAGGCCCGUGGGGGUGGAGGUCAGGCAUGUCAGUGUUUCCCUGAACAGACCUUGGAGUCGGGUUGUUUGUGAAUGCAGCCCAAAGUGGGUGGUAAACUCCAUCCAAGGCUAAAUACAUGCACGAGUCCGAUAGCGAACAAGUACCGUGAGGGAAAGUUGAAAAGUACUUUGAAGAGAGAGUAAACAGUGCGUGAAACCGCUCAGAGGUAAACGGGUGGAGUUGAACUGCAAGCUCUGGGGAUUCAGCUGGUGAGUGUGGUAAUGGGCUUGGUCAUAUUGGUUGGACUCUGGGGUCUGCUUAGCUGCAGGUCUUUGCCUUCUGGUGAGGAUGCGCGAUGCACUUGUCAAGUGUUGUGCGCCCUUGUUGUUCUUCGGACCAGCUUGCCAGUGCACUUUCUCAGAGUGGUCACCACGACCGGCUCGGCUGCCUGGCUGUCGCGGUCAAACCGUUGCGGCAUGGCCUUUGGGCUUUGUUCGUGCGGGAUGGCAGGUGACUCGGUGACUUGCUGGCUUUUGUCAGCGUUUGGUUGCCGGGUGUAAUCCGCUGACUGUGACGGUUCUGUGCAGUGUGUCGGAGACGGCGGCUUGUGACGUGUGUGCGCGUGCUGAUUGUUGGCUAGACCGAGUUUGGUUGCUAUGUUGCCUGUCUAGGCAGGCCUGGCGAUAGCUUGGUUUGGUUCGACGAUUGGGAGCGUGUGAUGCGUUAUUAAGGGCCAACAGUCUGUGGUGUAGUGGUAGACGAUCCACCUGACCCGUCUUGAAACACGGACCAAGGAGAUUAACAUGUGCGCGAGUCAUUGGGCGUAACGAAACCCACAGGCGCAGUGAAAGUAAAGGUUUGGCUUGUCCAGACUGAGGUGAGAUCUUGUCGUUUCUCUUGCAUGGUGCCACCAAGCAUCGAGCGGCGAGCGCAUCACCGGCCCGUCCCAUGACGUAGACACGGUCUUCUGACUGCUGCACCGUCGGGGCGGAGCAUGAGCGCACAUGUUGAGACCCGAAAGAUGGUGAACUAUGCUUGCGCAGGUUGAAGCCAGAGGAAACUCUGGUGGAGGACCGCAGCGAUUCUGACGUGCAAAUCGAUCGUCAAACGUGAGUAUAGGGCGAAAGACUAAUCGAA
rnacentral:rRNA from 1 species